UACCAGCUCUCCGAGUGGUAGGGAUGAUUAUUGGGCUUAAAGCGUCCGUAGCUGGCUCAGCAAGUCUCCUGUUAAAUUCAGCGACCUAAUCGUUGAGCCGCGGGAGAUACUACUAGGCUAGGAGGCGGGAGAGGUCGACGGUACUUUCGGGGUAGGGGUGAAAUCCUAUAAUCCCGGGAGGACCACCAGUGGCGAAGGCUGUCGACUAGAACGCGCUCGACGGUGAGGGACGAAAGCUGGGGGAGCGAACCGGAUUAGAUACCCGGGUAGUCCCAGCUGUAAACUAUGCAGGCUAGGUGUUUGGGCGGCCACGUGCCGCUCUAGUGCCGCAGAGAAGUCGUUAAGCCUGCCGUCUGGGGAGUACGGCCGCAAGGCUGAAACUUAAAGGAUUGGCGGGGAGCACAGCAACGGGUGGAGCGUGCGGUUU
rnacentral:rRNA from 1 species